rnacentral:rRNA from 1 species
AGAGUUUGAUCAUGGCUCAGAACGUACGCUGGCGGCACGCCUUAUACAUGCAAGUCGAACGAAGUAGCAAUACUUAGUGGCAGACGGGUGAGUAACAUGUAGGUAUCUACCCUUUGGCCUGGAAUAACACGAGGAAACUUGUGCUAAUACCGGAUAAGUCUUUACGGAGAAAGCUUUAUGCACCAUUGGAUGAGCCCGCACUUGAUUAGUUUGUUGGUGGGGUAAUGGCCUACCAAGACUUUGAUCAAUAGCUGAUUUGAGAGGAUGAUCAGCCACAUUGGGACUGAGACACGGCCCAAACUCCUACGGGAGGCAGCAGUGGGGAAUCUUGCACAAUGGAGGAAACUCUGAUGCAGCGAUGCCGCGUGAGUGAAGAAGGCCUUUGGGUUGUAAAGCUCUUUCGUCGGGGAAGAAAAUGACUGUACCCGAAUAAGAAGGUCCGGCUAACUUCGUGCCAGCAGCCGCGGUAAUACGAAGGGACCUAGCGUAGUUCGGAAUUACUGGGCUUAAAGAGUUCGUAGGUGGUUGAAAAAGUUGGUGGUGAAAUCCCAGAGCUUAACUCUGGAACUGCCAUCAAAACUUUUCAGCUAGAGUUUGAUAGAGGAAAGCAGAAUUUCUAGUGUAGAGGUGAAAUUCGUAGAUAUUAGAAAGAAUACCAAUUGCGAAGGCAGCUUUCUGGAUCAUUACUGACACUGAGGAACGAAAGCAUGGGUAGCGAAGAGGAUUAGAUACCCUCGUAGUCCAUGCCGUAAACGAUGUGUGUUAGACGUUGGAAAUUUAUUUUCAGUGUCGCAGCGAAAGCGAUAAACACACCGCCUGGGGAGUACGACCGCAAGGUUAAAACUCAAAUGAAUUGACGGGGACCCGCACAAGUAGUGGAGCAUGUGGUUUAAUUCGAAGAUACGCGCAGAACCUUACCAACACUUGACAUGUUCGUCGCGACUUUAAGAGAUUAAAGUUUUCGGUUCGGCCGGACGAAACACAGGUGCUGCAUGGCUGUCGUCAGCUCGUGUCGUGAGAUGUUGGGUUAAGUCCCGCAACGAGCGCAACCCUCACUUUUAGUUGCCAUCAUUUAGUUGGGCACUCUGAAAGAACUGCCAGUGAUAAGCUGGAGGAAGGUGGGGAUGACGUCAAGUCCUCAUGGCCCUUACGUGUUGGGCUACACACGUGCUACAAUGGCAUUUACAAUAGGAAGCAAGACGGCGACGUUAAGCAAAUCCUAAAAAAAUGCCUCAGUUCGGAUUGUACUCUGCAACUCGAGUACAUGAAGCUGGAAUUACUAGUAAUCGCGGAUCAGCGCGCCGCGGUGAAUACGUUCCCGGGUCUUGUACACACCGCCCGUCACACCAUGGGAGUUGGUUCUACCUUAAGGCAAGGUUUUAAACCCUUGACCACGGUAUAGUCAGCGACUGGGGUGAAGUCGUAACAAGGUAGCCGUAGGGGAACCUGCGGCUG